CUGAAAGAUGUGUUUCAAAGUACAUGUCAAUGCUACGAAUUCAGUGGUAUCAAAAUAUCAGUAAUAAAGUUUUAGUAACAUUUCACAACUAGCUAUUAAGUUGUUUAAACAACCCACAAAUACAAAUGUAGUUUCCUGUUCUUGUUUAUAAUUCCCCUCCUGCUUAGUUGCUGGGAUUGACUUUGAUUUUGACUGACUCAUCUCUGACAGGGUGUGAAAAGAGCAAUAAGCUUUACAGAGGGUCUGCGAGGAGGGGGUCUGACAUGAGAGAGAUCCUGUCUUAUCUUCCCCUCCUGUAAAAGCUGAGCUCCUUCAGGAGGAUGUAAUUGUCCUCUCUAAUGACUUGCACUUGGUAGGGGAAGACAAAGAGAGCACAAUAAAGGACUUUAGAGGCCCUCCAGUAGGAAUCCUUUGCUUUAAAUUGCAGAGCAAAUGAAACUGCCCGUUGUUUCCUCGGCUCAGGUCGAGAGUGCUCUGUCACAGACACAGAGGUGAGGCAGGACCAAAGCAGACCGAGGCGAGAACACCUGCUGGGUCCUAAUUGGUCCUCGCUGCUGUUAAUGGCUUCCUGUGGCUGUGUGUUUACUUCUCAUUUGUUCUGUGUACUCUGUUUCCCAGCCCCAAAACAAGGGAGGCCUGCCCUCUGUCUCUGCCUGUCUGUCUGCCUCCUCUUUUCUUCUUCACUCAGAAACAAAAUAAGUUGUCCUUCUCCAAGCUGCUGCACGAUGACUCAUACCUGAAGCCCCUCCCUAAAACCCUAUUACCUGAUCUUUGACCUCCAGAGGCAGUUAUCUAAGCAUGGACAUUUGAAAACCCACCACGACUUGGAGGACUUUUAUAGGGGCAUCACACUAACCGUCACCCAGUACAGCUGUAUAAAAGUCUGGAGGAUGUCAAGAAAAGGAGUUAAGAAACAUUUUUUAUAUUAAAACUUUCUCUCUAGAUAUGUUAUGGAGAAAAGCAGUAGAUGUGAAUUUGUAAUGUGUGUUGAUGUUACGACAAGAAAUCAGAAAAACAUCCCCAUACCGCUGAAGAUAGAGGACAUGAAGGCCACUCCAGGAGGAGAAUACCUACACUGUAAUAAGUAGUGGUUACUUCAUUUAAUAGACCUGGGAAAUAAGUUCAGGCAGAUAUAUAUAUAUAUUUUUUAAUGUAUGAUUAUGUCUGCUGCCUUGAUUGUAACCCCUGCAACAUUCGGUACUUUUAGAGUAAUAUUUUGACUUGAUUUUGUUUUUCAGAUGUAAGCUUUUUUGCUUUUUUCAUGAGACUUGGACGAAUAGAUUGACACCACACUCUCACAUUUGUCUGUUAAAAAUAAAGUUACAGCUAAGCCAGUUAGCGUAGCUUAGAAAAUGGGAAAACAGCAAGCCUUGCUUUUGCACCUUUUUAAAACUCGCAAAUUAAAAUAAAUACAAAAAAUAGUUUGUUUAACAAGUCUAAAAGCAACAGGUUGAGAUUAUAUGGGGUUUGAGUCACAAAAUGAUUCUCUAAUGCUUUAAAAUAAAACAACGUACAAGUCUUCAAUAUUUCGAACUCAGGGUAUACGUGUAAAAGAUACAGCUGGUGUUGGUAAGGGGCCGGCUGUCUGUAGAGGCCUCGGCUCCUAAACUGUGAGCUCUCUGGAUCUCUGUUUGCUCUGCCUUUAAGAACAAACAGGGACUCCACUGGAGGCUUGUUUAGCGUGGACCCUCCUGGAGGAGAGAGCUGAUUACUCACGUAGAAGUGAGAUGACCAAACACAAUCUGACCCUGCUGUUGUGGAGACUCGCCUACUCGGUCGGCCACUUUAACUUCCACAAACAUCGUCCAGGGGGAAAUGUCGUCAUUAUGUCCGCUACAAAAGAGAUAUAGCAAUUGGGCCAGUGGUGUCACCUUAUGCCAGCCCUGUGAGCAGAUGUGGAACUGUUUGAGAAGUUCCUACUCAUUUAAAGCUUUAUGGGCGUCCAGGCAAACAGCACUCCAUUUAGCAAAAAGUGGCAGAGAUAAUCGGAGAGCCUUUAAGACUUUGAGUUGUAUUGUGGUUCCACUCAUCGCUAGUUAUACAAGCAUUAUACUGGUAUUAAGAAUAAUCUACUACUUAAGCUUCAGUUUGAAGAUAGAAGACUGGAGGUUUUGUUUAUUCUGCAGCUAAUCAUCUUUUAGUUUAUACACCUGAACCUCUACUAAUUUCUUUCAGGACUUUUACUUCAAUUGACACUUCCCGCUCAAUUUAUUGUUGAAUAUUGAUCAACAUUACAACUUGAACUUCAGUGUUUUACUUUUGUAGCACCCUAACCCUAAACUUCACUUGGCACUAACACUUGUAUGACACUUUGACGUUGAAACCUACCUUUCUUUCAGCACCUCCAUUUUAACUGCUAAUUCCACUUCUCUCAGUAACUCUAGGUAAAUUGCCUCUUCAACUACUGUUUCGGUAUUAUAACUAUAUCAAGUAUUUAAAAUCUAAUAUUUCAAUAGAGAGUAAAGUGUUAAGUAUUUUCUGUUUAAAUGUAUUUUAAGAUGGGCAAUACGUAUGGAAUUAGAAGCACUUUGAUUGAUUUAUUCCAGAAAACUCUCAAAUGCCUAUCUCUUUCUCUAGUUCUGCUGUCGUACCUUUUUUUUCCUAACACAAAAGAAUGCGAUUAACAUGGGUGCUGAUCAUUUUAACCACACAUUUGACAAAUUAUAAUCUAUGAGUGUUUUUGCUUUAAAUCUAAAGAAGGUAACUACCAAGGCAUGUUGUUCGGAUCGCCAUUACAUGUAGGCACCUGCUCGUAUCACCCUCGGUGUCCCUUGUGUUUACAUGUUGUGAAUGUAUAACAGACCGGUGUCGGCCACGGUCACCCUUGUUGUUAAUUGGGGCUGAAUUCUGUUUAGUAUGAGCAUGUAUGAUGUUAGUAAGAGGCUGUCAGCGUCAAACAGCUCAUUGGCUUGCGGACAUUAGACUCUUGGUAAGAAGACGAGUGAAGGCUUACGCUGACAAGUCCUCCAUCAGUGUGAAAUCUCACCACACCACGGACAAACAUGGCGAGACAGCGGCCCUCCCUGCGCCCCCAACCUCUCUGUGCUAUAGGCACAUUCCCCACAUCCAUAAGAAAUACCCAAAAUAAAAGCAAUUAGAGCUGAAGACAAUAUAUGGAGUCGGCAAAGUCCUUGUUUAUGUUUGAGCCAAUUCAUCCAAUCUGUCCUGCGUUGGUUACUAUUUAUAUGUUUAUUAUUAGCUGCUAUGAUUUAUUGGACAGUUUGCUAUCUUUGUGGCCAUCUGGUCAUGGUCUCUUCAACAUGUUGAAUUUCACAAGUAUGCAUUACAGGCCUACAAAAUUAAAUUGACCAGAACAUACCGUGUCUAUUACUAUAGUUGACUGCGAUGAGUGGAAAAUGCACAGAAGCCUGGGCUGGUCUAGUUGCAUCUAAUUUUGUAGGAUCAUCAUAGUCAACCUUUUUGAUGAGUUAUCAUUUACGCCACUGCAUUGUUGGGCUUUUAACAUGUCAUCACUAAUAUUGUUCAUAUAUGAGUGCACAGGUCCACAUCCUCAUUCCUCCACCCGCCUCAGGGUUUGUAUAGAUCUGUUACCUGCUGCACCGUGCUGUGAGUAAACGCUGCCUUGCUCAGGAGUCCUCCCUGAAGCCAGUUUGCACCCAGCAGACAAAGUGUGUUGUCACCCGAGUGCGCAGUGUUAUUGGGUGUGAGCUGCACCACACUAUAGAUACUCUUGAGAAGUAGCACACCAUUAGGAAUAUAUUAACAACCCAACAUUUUGUGUGCAGGUCACACAUCCCAGCUGUAAGCAAGUUGACCAGAUUACAGAUAUUAGAGCAUGAGUCUGGAUCAGGAGAGGGUUUUGCGGAGCUGAUCUUUGGUGGCAGCCAGGAGAAGGAGCAAACUGAGCAAAUGUUUCCCAAGGUUAGGGUAAAAACCACAGGGGCAGCAACCCCACUUAACAAGGGCAGAGAGGGGUAAACACACCUGGAGCAGUGACCACCCUCCUCAACCAACACACAAAGAAUACACUAAACAGAAAGAUAGGCCUAUUACUGUUUAGUUUAGUAAUUAUAUAUUUUCAUAUUUUUGCAUCCAACUUAGAUUUAAUUUUCCGGCUACUCUAUUUACUCCCAGCAUGUGUAUAGCUGCAGAGAAGUUACAGCCAGGAUUUGCUUAUCUUAGCUUAGCAUUAAAGGUGGGGUAGGUAAUUUUGGAGAAACCAGCUCGAGUGCGC